ACGCUGGCGGCGUGCCUAAUACAUGCAAGUAGAACGCUGAAGGAGGAGCUUGCUUCUCCGGAUGAGUUGCGAACGGGUGAGUAACGCGUAGGUAACCUGCCUGGUAGCGGGGGAUAACUAUUGGAAACGAUAGCUAAUACCGCAUAAGAGUAGAUGUUGCAUGACAUUUGCUUAAAAGGUGCAAUUGCAUCACUACCAGAUGGACCUGCGUUGUAUUAGCUAGUUGGUGGGGUAACGGCUCACCAAGGCGACGAUACAUAGUCGACCUGAGAGGGUGAUCGGCCACACUGGGACUGAGACACGGCCCAGACUCCUACGGGAGGCAGCAGUAGGGAAUCUUCGGCAAUGGACGGAAGUCUGACCGAGCAACGCCGCGUGAGUGAAGAAGGUUUUCGGAUCGUAAAGCUCUGUUGUAAGAGAAGAACGAGUGUGAGAGUGGAAAGUUCACACUGUGACGGUAUCUUACCAGAAAGGGACGGCUAACUACGUGCCAGCAGCCGCGGUAAUACGUAGGUCCCGAGCGUUGUCCGGAUUUAUUGGGCGUAAAGCGAGCGCAGGCGGUUAGAUAAGUCUGAAGUUAAAGGCUGUGGCUUAACCAUAGUACGCUUUGGAAACUGUUUAACUUGAGUGCAGGAGGGGAGAGUGGAAUUCCAUGUGUAGCGGUGAAAUGCGUAGAUAUAUGGAGGAACACCGGUGGCGAAAGCGGCUCUCUGGCUUGUAACUGACGCUGAGGCUCGAAAGCGUGGGGAGCAAACAGGAUUAGUUACCCUGGUAGUCCACGCCGUAAACGAUGAGUGCUAGGUGUUAGACCCUUUCCGGGGUUUAGUGCCGCAGCUAACGCAUUAAGCACUCCGCCUGGGGAGUACGACCGCAAGGUUGAAACUCAAAGGAAUUGACGGGGGGCCCCGCACAAGCGGU
rnacentral:rRNA from 1 species